rnacentral:lncRNA from 1 species
UGUUACCAACUAAAUUACCUAACCAUCAGUUUAAUUCUCAAGGUUAUCAAUAAUCAACUAGUAACUUAUCACAAAAUUUAUUUGCCUAUACUACAUAGCCCCACUCCUAUCUGUGCAGCGUCCUUGCAAACAUACAAUUAUUACCUAUCUAAAAACUACUUAACAAAACUCUACAAAGGUACUAUUUCUUCAGGCCAAUUCAAUUGAUUAUUUGUUGCAUUAUCGAAUGUGCGUUCUACCAAAUCUGGUUCCAAUUAUAAAUCUUCUUCUGCCUCCUCUAGUCCAUCCAUCAACUCCUUCCUCAACUGAUUUGAAAGAUCUUCAUUA